GACGAACGCUGGCGGCGUGCUUAACACAUGCAAGUCGAACGGUAAGGCCCUUCGGGGUACACGAGUGGCGAACGGGUGAGUAACACGUGGGUGAUCUGCCCUGCACUUCGGGAUAAGCCUGGGAAACUGGGUCUAAUACCGGAUAGGACUCCUGGCUUCAUGGUUGGGGGUGGAAAGCUUUUGCGGUGUGGGAUGGGCCCGCGGCCUAUCAGCUUGUUGGUGGGGUGAGGGCCUACCAAGGCGACGACGGGUAGCCGGCCGGAGAGGGUGACCGGCCACACUGGGACUGAGAUACGGCCCAGACUCCUACGGGAGGCAGCAGUGGGGAAUAUUGCACAAUGGGCGCAAGCCUGAUGCAGCGACGCCGCGUGAGGGAUGACGGCCUUCGGGUUGUAAACCUCUUUCAGCACCGACGAAGCGCAAGUGACGGUAGGUGCAGAAGAAGGACCGGCCGACUACGUGCCAGCAGCCGCCGUAA
rnacentral:rRNA from 1 species